rnacentral:rRNA from 1 species
UGCUCAGAACGAACGCUGGCGGCAGGCCUAACACAUGCAAGUCGAGCGCGCCUUCGGGUGAGCGGCGGACGGGUUAGUAACGCGUGGGAACGUGCCCUUCUCUACGGAAUAGCCUCUGGAAACGGAGAGUAAUACCGUAUACGCCCUUUGGGGGAAAGAUUUAUCGGAGAAGGAUCGGCCCGCGUUAGAUUAGGUAGUUGGUGGGGUAACGGCCUACCAAGCCUACGAUCUAUAGCUGGUUUUAGAGGAUGAUCAGCAACACUGGGACUGAGACACGGCCCAGACUCCUACGGGAGGCAGCAGUGGGGAAUCUUAGACAAUGGGGGCAACCCUGAUCUAGCCAUGCCGCGUGAGUGAUGAAGGCCUUAGGGUCGUAAAGCUCUUUCGCCUGUGAUGAUAAUGACAGUAGCAGGUAAAGAAACCCCGGCUAACUCCGUG